GCAGGUAUUGUAUAGAGAGGAGCAGGAUUAGUGGUUGCCUGCUAGCUGUGCCGCUCCAUAGUAUAGUAUAAUAUAAAUAAAGGUUUAUACAUUUUGGUGUAUUAUAAACCUUCUAUUGUAUAUAGUGUAUAGUUACAGUCAUAGAUCCUGUUGUGGAUAUGGGUUUGGCCAUGGAUGGAAUGGAAACCAGAUUUUUAUACAGAUGAGUUAUAUGCCUGAGAUGAUGUAUUGAUAUAUAUUGUCCAGGUUCAUUAUGUGAUAGAUUAUGUGAUUGCUACUCUGACAGGUAGUGUUGUUGUAUGUAUUGAGAUAAUCCUGACAGGUCACUAUAGAAAAAGUGAUCGUUUUGUGCAUGUAUUAUGCCAAAAUUUUUAAGAUUUAUUGAUGAUUGAUAGGUAGUAGGGUUCUACGCGGUGGCUGGUGGCCUUAUGCCUACCCGCACUCUAGGACCGUCGCGGCGGCCCGCCGG
rnacentral:lncRNA from 1 species